AGAGUUUGAUCAUGGCUCAGAUUGAACGCUGGCGGCAGGCCUAACACAUGCAAGUCGAGCGGUAGCACAGAGAGCUUGCUCUCGGGUGACGAGCGGCGGACGGGUGAGUAAUGUCUGGGAAACUGCCUGAUGGAGGGGGAUAACUACUGGAAACGGUAGCUAAUACCGCAUAAUGUCGCAAGACCAAAGUGGGGGACCUUCGGGCCUCAUGCCAUCAGAUGUGCCCAGAUGGGAUUAGCUAGUAGGUGGGGUAACGGCUCACCUAGGCGACGAUCCCUAGCUGGUCUGAGAGGAUGACCAGCCACACUGGAACUGAGACACGGUCCAGACUCCUACGGGAGGCAGCAGUGGGGAAUAUUGCACAAUGGGCGCAAGCCUGAUGCAGCCAUGCCGCGUGUGUGAAGAAGGCCUUCGGGUUGUAAAGCACUUUCAGCGGGGAGGAAGGCGGUGAGGUUAAUAACCUCAUCGAUUGACGUUACCCGCAGAAGAAGCACCGGCUAACUCCGUGCCAGCAGCCGCGGUAAUACGGAGGGUGCAAGCGUUAAUCGGAAUUACUGGGCGUAAAGCGCACGCAGGCGGUCUGUCAAGUCGGAUGUGAAAUCCCCGGGCUCAACCUGGGAACUGCAUUCGAAACUGGCAGGCUAGAGUCUUGUAGAGGGGGGUAGAAUUCCAGGUGUAGCGGUGAAAUGCGUAGAGAUCUGGAGGAAUACCGGUGGCGAAGGCGGCCCCCUGGACAAAGACUGACGCUCAGGUGCGAAAGCGUGGGGAGCAAACAGGAUUAGAUACCCUGGUAGUCCACGCCGUAAACGAUGUCGAUUUGGAGGUUGUGCCCUUGAGGCGUGGCUUCCGGAGCUAACGCGUUAAAUCGACCGCCUGGGGAGUACGGCCGCAAGGUUAAAACUCAAAUGAAUUGACGGGGGCCCGCACAAGCGGUGGAGCAUGUGGUUUAAUUCGAUGCAACGCGAAGAACCUUACCUGGUCUUGACAUCCACAGAACUUAGCAGAGAUGCAUUGGUGCCUUCGGGAACUGUGAGACAGGUGCUGCA
rnacentral:rRNA from 1 species